ensembl:misc_RNA 7SK 7SK RNA
GAAUGUGAAAGCAAUGCUAUUGUACCAUUUUCACCCCACUGAUUGGCAGGAUGGAUGUCUGAUCUGCCUGGCUGGGUGGGGUAUUUACUUUCUCCCUCUCAACUUGGCACAGACUUGACAAAGAGGCAGCUUUGGUCAUGGGAAUGCAAGUUGCUACCCUCUCAUAGUAAAAUUUCCAAACAAGCUUCUAGAGAAUAAAAAGAACAGCUUAAAUAUCUUACAACUACAGCAUAUGCAUCUUCACCAUUGUGACGUUAUAAGUU